AAAAACCCAGGUGGUGUGAGAUGGAUCCGCGUCUGAUUAGCCAGUUGGCGGGGUAACGGCCCACCAAAGCGACGAUCAGUAGCCGACCUGAGAGGGUGACCGGCCACAUUGGGACUGAGACACGGCCCAAACUCCUACGGGAGGCAGCAGUGGGGAAUAUUGCACAAUGGGCGAAAGCCUGAUGCAGCGACGCCGCGUGAGUGAAGAAGUAUCUCGGUAUGUAAAGCUCUAUCAGCAGGGAAGAAAAUGACGGUACCUGACUAAGAAGCCCCGGCUAACUACGUGCCAGCAGCCGCGGUAAUACGUAGGGGGCAAGCGUUAUCCGGAUUUACUGGGUGUAAAGGGAGCGUAGACGGCGACGCAAGUCUGGAGUGAAAGCCCGGGGCCCAACCCCGGGACUGCUUUGGAAACUGUGCUGCUGGAGUGCAGGAGAGGUAAGUGGAAUUCCUAGUGUAGCGGUGAAAUGCGUAGAUAUUAGGAGGAACACCAGUGGCGAAGGCGGCUUACUGGACUGUAACUGACGUUGAGGCUCGAAAGCGUGGGGAGCAAACAGGAUUAGAUACCCUGGUAGUCCACGCC
rnacentral:rRNA from 1 species